GAUGAAGAACGUAGCGAAAUGCGAUACGUAAUGUGAAUUGCAGAAUUCAGUGAAUCAUCGAAUCUUUGAACGCAUAUUGCGCUCUCUGGUAUUCCGGAGAGCAUGCUUGUUUGAGUAUCAGUAAACACCUCAACUCCCUUUUCUUUUUUGAAAUUGGAGCUGGACUUGAGUGAUCCCAACGCUUUCUUCCAAGAAAGUGGCGGGUUGCUUGAAAUGCAGGUGCAGCUGAACUUUUCUCUGAGCUAUAAGCAUAUCUAUUUAGUCUGCCUAAAAAACAGAUUAUUACCUUUGCUUCAGCUAACAUAAAGGAGACUAGUUCUUGUGCUGACUGAUGCAGGAUUCACAGAGACAGCUUCGGCUGACUUUGUAAACUCGAUCUCAAAUCAAGUAAGACUACCCGCUGAACUUAAGCAUAUCAAUAAGCGGAGGA
rnacentral:misc_RNA from 1 species